GGUUAAGCGACUAAGCGUACACGGUGGAUGCCCUGGCAGUCAGAGGCGAUGAAGGGCGUGCUAAUCUGCGAUAAGCGCCGGUAAGGUGAUAUGAACCGUUAUAACCGGCGAUACCCGAAUGGGGAAACCCAGUGUGAUUCGUCACACUAUCAUUAACUGAAUCCAUAGGUUAAUGAGGCGAACCGGGGGAACUGAAACAUCUAAGUACCCCGAGGAAAAGAAAUCAACCGAGAUUCCCCCAGUAGCGGCGAGCGAACGGGGAGGAGCCCAGAGCCUGAAUCAGCAUGUGUGUUAGUGGAAGCGUCUGGAAAGGUGCGCGAUACAGGGUGACAGCCCCGUACACAAAAGCGCAUGUGCUGUGAGCUCGAUGAGUAGGGCGGGACACGUGGUAUCCUGUCUGAAUAUGGGGGGACCAUCCUCCAAGGCUAAAUACUCCUGACUGACCGAUAGUGAACCAGUACCGUGAGGGAAAGGCGAAAAGAACCCCGGCGAGGGGAGUGAAAAAGAACCUGAAACCGUGUACGUACAAGCAGUGGGAGCACAGGUUUACCUGUGUGACUGCGUACCUUUUGUAUAAUGGGUCAGCGACUUAUAUUCUGUAGCAAGGUUAACCGUAUAGGGGAGCCGUAGGGAAACCGAGUCUUAACCGGGCGUUAAGUUGCAGGGUAUAGACCCGAAACCCGGUGAUCUAGCCAUGGGCAGGUUGAAGGUUGGGUAACACUAACUGGAGGACCGAACCGACUAAUGUUGAAAAAUUAGCGGAUGACCUGUGGCUGGGGGUGAAAGGCCAAUCAAACCGGGAGAUAGCUGGUUCUCCCCGAAAGCUAUUUAGGUAGCGCCUCGUGAAUUCAUCUCCGGGGGUAGAGCACUGUUUCGGCUAGGGGGCCAUCCCGGCUUACCAACCCGAUGCAAACUGCGAAUACCGGAGAAUGUUAUCACGGGAGACACACGGCGGGUGCUAACGUCCGUCGUGAAGAGGGAAACAACCCAGACCGCCAGCUAAGGUCCCAAAGUCAUGGUUAAGUGGGAAACGAUGUGGGAAGGCCCAGACAGCCAGGAUGUUGGCUUAGAAGCAGCCAUCAUUUAAAGAAAGCGUAAUAGCUCACUGGUCGAGUCGGCCUGCGCGGAAGAUGUAACGGGGCUAAACCAUGCACCGAAGCUGCGGCAGCGAACGUAUCACCCAAGACAACUUUACGGAGUUGACGAUUGACGGAGCGAAGCGACGUCAAAGCGUUCAUUAAAGUCGAGUUGGCUUAGGGAUACGUUCGUUGGGUAGGGGAGCGUUCUGUAAGCCUGUGAAGGUGUGUCGUGAGGCAUGCUGGAGGUAUCAGAAGUGCGAAUGCUGACAUAAGUAACGAUAAAGCGGGUGAAAAGCCCGCUCGCCGGAAGACCAAGGGUUCCUGUCCAACGUUAAUCGGGGCAGGGUGAGUCGACCCCUAAGGCGAGGCCGAAAGGCGUAGUCGAUGGGAAACGGGUUAAUAUUCCCGUACUUGGUGUUACUGCGAAGGGGGGACGGAGAAGGCUAUGUUGGCCGGGCGACGGUUGUCCCGGUUUAAGCGUGUAGGUGUGUGUUCCAGGUAAAUCCGGUUCACUUUAACACUGAGGCGUGACGACGAGGCACUACGGUGCUGAAGCAACAAAUGCCCUGCUUCCAGGAAAAGCCUCUAAGCAUCAGGUAACAUCAAAUCGUACCCCAAACCGACACAGGUGGUCAGGUAGAGAAUACCAAGGCGCUUGAGAGAAUUCGGGUGAAGGAACUAGGCAAAAUGGUGCCGUAACUUCGGGAGAAGGCACGCUGACACGUAGGUGAAGUGAUUUACUCAUGGAGCUGAAGUCAGUCGAAGAUACCAGCUGGCUGCAACUGUUUAUUAAAAACACAGCACUGUGCAAACACGAAAGUGGACGUAUACGGUGUGACGCCUGCCCGGUGCCGGAAGGUUAAUUGAUGGGGUCAGCGCAAGCGAAGCUCCUGAUCGAAGCCCCGGUAAACGGCGGCCGUAACUAUAACGGUCCUAAGGUAGCGAAAUUCCUUGUCGGGUAAGUUCCGACCUGCACGAAUGGCGUAAUGAUGGCCAGGCUGUCUCCACCCGAGACUCAGUGAAAUUGAACUCGCUGUGAAGAUGCAGUGUACCCGCGGCAAGACGGAAAGACCCCGUGAACCUUUACUAUAGCUUGACACUGAACAUUGAGCCUUGAUGUGUAGGAUAGGUGGGAGGCUUUGAAGUGUGGACGCCAGUCUGCAUGGAGCCGACCUUGAAAUACCACCCUUUAAUGUUUGAUGUUCUAACGUGGACCCGUAAUCCGGGUUGCGGACAGUGUCUGGUGGGUAGUUUGACUGGGGCGGUCUCCUCCUAAAGAGUAACGGAGGAGCACGAAGGUUGGCUAAUCCUGGUCGGACAUCAGGAGGUUAGUGCAAUGGCAUAAGCCAGCUUGACUGCGAGCGUGACGGCGCGAGCAGGUGCGAAAGCAGGUCAUAGUGAUCCGGUGGUUCUGAAUGGAAGGGCCAUCGCUCAACGGAUAAAAGGUACUCCGGGGAUAACAGGCUGAUACCGCCCAAGAGUUCAUAUCGACGGCGGUGUUUGGCACCUCGAUGUCGGCUCAUCACAUCCUGGGGCUGAAGUAGGUCCCAAGGGUAUGGCUGUUCGCCAUUUAAAGUGGUACGCGAGCUGGGUUUAGAACGUCGUGAGACAGUUCGGUCCCUAUCUGCCGUGGGCGCUGGAGAACUGAGGGGGGCUGCUCCUAGUACGAGAGGACCGGAGUGGACGCAUCACUGGUGUUCGGGUUGUCAUGCCAAUGGCACUGCCCGGUAGCUAAAUGCGGAAGAGAUAAGUGCUGAAAGCAUCUAAGCACGAAACUUGCCCCGAGAUGAGUUCUCCCUGAGACUUAGAGUCUCCUGAAGGAACGUUGAAGACGACGACGUUGAUAGGCCGGGUGUGUAAGCGCAGCGAUGCGUUGAGCUAACCGGUACUAAUGAACCGUGAGGCUUAACCUU
rnacentral:rRNA from 1 species